CUACAAAGAUGAUAGAUGAACUCUCUCUUUCUGCAUAUUCCAUGUAGAAACUUUGAAGUUUUUAGCUGAGUAGC